UACAGAGGUCUCAAGCGUUGUUCGGAUUCAUUGGGCGUAAAGGGUGCGUAGGCGGCGCGGUAAGUCGGGUGGUGAAACUCAUCGGAGCUUAACUCCGAAACUGCAUUCGAUACUGCCGUGCUUGAGGACUGGAGAGGAGACUGGAAUUUACGGUGUAGCGGUGAAAUGCGUAGAUAUCGCUAAGGAAGACCAGUGGCGAAGGCGGGUCUCUGGACAGUUCCUGACGCUGAGGCACGAAGGUCAGGGGAGCAAACGGG
rnacentral:rRNA from 1 species